GAGGCUUUGUUGCGGAAUAGAAAGUCGACUCUUGAUUUGAUUUUCGAUUGGAGAUGUUUGAUAUGAGUCUGGUAGGAGAGUUUACAGUCUAGCCAGACACCUAGGUACUUAUAGAUGUCCACGUGACAAACAUCCUUCUGCAUCAAGGUCAACUUUAGUUUAUUUUCAAAGGUGCCACAUUUUUGCCCCUCGCUAUGUCUAUAUUUGUGCCUCUCUCACGGUGCUGAAUACAUGCUAAAUGUAAUAACAUUGUCCAGGUCCUUUCUCAUGUUCAGACAGACUAUAUCCCACUACCUAAACCUGCAACAGACUGAGCUGACCACCAUGCACUCUGAGGAUGGAUCUUCUACUUCAAGGCUUGGCAAUUCUGGUGCUGAUCAGAAAGGUGGAGGUCAACGGCAGAACGGAGGUUUGAAGCUGCUUGGUCGUCUCUCCCCCCAAUUAGAGGAGGAUCUCUGGUCAAUGAAAGGUUUACCCAAUUAAUUGUUCCCUUCGGACCAUCUCAGUCUCCUGGUUAGGUUCCAGCUGGACUGAAACCCUGUGUAAUUUGGGCUGUUUGUGAUCAAUUAAUAAAUCAGGAGGACCGAGGUCAAGCAUUUAAAAAUAUUUGUUCAAACUGUACAUGAUUUUCCCAUGGUGUGAUUCCAUGUUUUAUAUGUUAAUAAUUGUACUUAAUUGGUUCUUUGGGCUCACAUGGUUGUUUCCUACCUGAAGAGAAACUACUCAUCCCAAGGUCCAGAGGGGAUGGGAUGUCCUCUGAAGAAUUGUUUUUGUUUACAUGGAGAAAAAAACGAACCAAAGGUUGAAUUUAGUUCAAAGUUGGAAUUUAUUUGACAAAUUCUCUUACUGUUGAGAUUUGAAUGCAUGAAGCUUUUAGAUUUUAAAAGUUAAUAUUUUGUGAACAAACUGAGUAAACAAUCUGCUACACUAGUAAAUUAGAACAUUUACAUCUUUA